rnacentral:rRNA from 1 species
UGCCCACUGAUAAUUAAUUAAAGGGCUGCAGUAAUUUGACUGUACAAAGGUAGCAUAAUCAUUAGUCAUUUAAUUGAUGACUUGUAUGAAAGAUUGGAUGAAAUAUAAACUGUCUCUUAAUUAUAAUUAGAAUUUAAUUUUUUAAUUAAAAAGUUAAAAUAAAUUAAAAAGACGAGAAGACCCUAUAGAGUUUUAUAAAUAAGUUAGUUAAAAUUAUUAUUAAAAUAAAUAAAUUGAAAUUAAUUUAUUUAUUUUGUUGGGGUGAUAGAAAAAUAUAUAAAACUUUUUUUAAAAAAUUACAUAUAUAAGUGAAUAUUUGAUCCAGUAUUAUUGAUUAAAAGAAAAAAUUACCUUAGGGAUAACAGCGUAAUUUUUUUUUUUAGUUCAUAUAAAAAAAAGAGUUUGCGACCUCGAUGUUGGAUUAAGAUAAAAUUUAAAUGCAGAAGUUUAAAGUUUUUGA